GCCAGGUGUGGAGGUGUGCACCUGUAAUCCCAACUACUCAGGAGGCUGAGGCAUGAGAAUUGCUUGGAUCCAGGAGGCAUGGGUUGCAGUGAGCUGAGAUCAUGCCACUGCACUCCAACCUGGGUGAAAGAGCAAGAGCAAGACUCCG
ensembl:misc_RNA Metazoa_SRP Metazoan signal recognition particle RNA